CCCCAAUCAAUGUCUCCCUUCGGGUCAAGAGUUCAGGGACUCAGUGUGCUGGGCUGAGGGGCCCCAGCUGAGAGGAGGAUGGAUUUGGGGCCACGUGGAGACAUGAUUCAUUCUCCUGCUAAACAUUCACAUUUUGAUCUUGAGGAUGUCUUAGGGUCCUAUUCUUCGUUCCCUCCUCCCAGCCACUGCGUUUAGGGCACAAUGCAAUGAUACAACUUUUUCCUUCUUGAAAAAGGAGUCAUUGCCCUGACCUCUCGUGUCGUCUGUGGGGCUCCAGGGCAUCCUCGAAGUCCCUAAAUAGGUUGAAAUAAACAACUCUCCAGCAGGUGAGGA
rnacentral:lncRNA from 1 species